CAGCGCCCGCCGCCAGGGGGGCCCGCGGGAGGGGCGCCCGCGGCCUCGGCGCCCCCUGGCUGCCCGGCGACGCCCCUCCGCCUCCCCAGCGCCCCGUCAGGGGCGGAUUAGGAAGCCGGGGCGCGGGGUUCCCGGGGCGCAGGGUCAAGGUCACUCAGCGGGCGCGGGGAGACACCCUGGAGCAGGGCCCGGCGCCCUGCGCGGCGGAGGCGGCGGCGGCGGCUGGAGAACCGAAGUCGUCGGCUGACUGGUCACUCCCACCUUGCCCAGGUUGGCUUCCGGUGGCCGGUCCAGGUCGCUCUCUUCAACACUACCCCUCGCUCUCUGCACCCCCCCUACCUCACGCCUCCUCUCUCUGCCUCCUCCUCCGACUCUCCACUGGAAUCUGUCAAGAACAGAGAGAGGCAUGUAAUUGAGUUGGGGCCGUCUCCAUGGCUGCAGCCGCGAGUCACUGAAAGAUCAAUUCGGAAAGACUGUCUCUGUAAUAAUUGCGGCUUAAUAGUUUCUCCGCGGCAGAGUGGGGCUUGGUGUGAGGCCGUCAGGACAACCUCGGGACCCUGGCAGGAAAAGGCCACCUGGAGCCCCCGCCCCCCGCCACCCCCCUGCAGCCACCAUAUCCCUGGGCCAGGCUCUGGAGGGGACUUGGCCUCAGCCAGAAACAGGAGGGGAGUGGGAGCAGGGGAGACAGGCCAGUCUCACCCCGCCCACACACACAGCUGUCCCUGCCCCCUGCUCUUACCCACUGUGCCCCGCUCCUGUUUAUAAUUUAUGCUUAUGAUCGGAAUUAUCAGCAAUAAUGAUAACAUGAUUAUAAUUGCCAAGCUUCCUGGCUCAAUUGCAGCUCUGUUGGUAAAUAUUAUGAUAGAGAGUAGCGUGAGGUCACUGCCUCCCAGGGCUUGAGGGAUGGCGUGGGGGAUGGUAGCACCCCGAGGGGUUGCAUGGUCCCUCCCUCGCCCCCAGCCAAGCCCCCACCCCCCCAACCCCAGCCCUCUCCAGAGAACUUGCGGCUGCUCGAACAUUGGCUCAUCCAUUUUAACACCCAACAGUCGUCCCUGCUUAAAUCUAACUUAAGUCGCUCCUGCUUUUAGGCUCAGCAGGAAGCAUUUAGAAGCCUGUGGGGUGUGCAGGACCGCAUCUGUCACCCCACCAACAGAGGGCACUCCAAGGCUGUGUUGUGACUUCUGCCUGGAAGGCGAGGUGGCCCAAGGAUGGUCCUUCCACACCCAAGUUGGUGUGACUGGCGAUUCAGUCCCACAGGAACUCAGAGGCGGCCGAGGGGUCCUGGCGGGGGGCUAAGGGGCAGGAUAGGGCCACUGUCCCAGGCACAGUUCCCUGGGGAACAGGGGACAUCUCCUGCAUCCAGGGGCCUUCCUUCAGGAGAAGCGAGUCUGGAGGCCCAGGGUAGAAACAUGGACUCCAGACUGCCUUGGACAUAAAAACAGCCCCUUUGAGGAGCACCUGGGUGGCUCAGUUGUUUAAACGUCUGACUCUUGAUUUAGGCUCAGGUCGUGAUCUCAUGGUUCACUUCAUGAGAUCCGGUCUCGCGUCAGGCUCUGUGCUGACAGCACGGAACCUGCUUGGGAUUCUCUCUCUCCCUCUCUCUCUCUCUCUGCCCCUUCUUCGCUCAUGUGCUCUCUCUCUCUCUCUCUCUCUC